GCCGUGAGGUGUUGCCUUAAGUGGCGCAACGAGCGCAACCCCUGUCCUUAGUUGCCAGCGGGUAAUGCCGGGAACUCUAGGGAGACUGCCGGUGCCAAACCGGAGGAAGGUGGGGAUGACGUCAAGUCAUCAUGCCCCUUAUGUCCAGGGCUGCACGCAUGCUACAAUGCGCGGUACAGAGGGCUGCGAUCCCGUAAGGGGGAGCGAAUCCCAGAAAGCCGUGCUCAGUUCGGAUCGAGGUCUGCAACCCGACCUCGUGAAGUCGGAGUCGCUAGUAAUCGCAGAUCAGCAAUGCUGCGGUGAAUACGUUCCCGGGCCUUGUACACACCGCCCGUCACACCACGAAAGUGGGCAACACCCGAAGCCGGUGGCCCAACCCUUGUGGAGGGAGCCGUCGAAGGUGGGGCUCGCGAUUGGGGUGAAGUCGUAACAAGGUAGCCGUAGCGGAAGCUGCGGCUGGAUCACCUCCUUUCUAAGGAGCCAUUUGGCAACCCGUUCCGUUGUUCAUUUCUUGGCGGAUACGGAGACUCCAGGUUGAUCAUCUGCUCGAGACACGCUGUUCAGCUUUGAGGGUGCGACCCUCGAGCAUCUUGAGAACUCGAUAGCGAGCGCGAGCAUCUAGAAGUCAAGUGAACAAGGGCUUACGGUGGAUGCCUUGGCGCCAGGAGCCGAAGAAGGACGCGUCAGGCUGCGAAAAGCCUCGGGGAGCUGCCGAGAAAGCUGUGAUCCGAGGGUGU
rnacentral:sRNA from 1 species